AAUCUGGCUCAGGUAAACUCAGGUGUCACACAGGUAAACCUGGCACAGGUAAACUCAGGUGUGUCACACAGGUAAACUCAGGUGUGUCACACAGGUAAACUCAGGUGUCACACAGGUAAACCCGGCUCAGGUAAACUCAGGUGUGUCACACAGGUAAACUCAGGUGUCACACAGGUAAACCCGGCUCAGGUAAACUCAGGUGUCACACAGGUAAAC